rnacentral:rRNA from 1 species
GACGAACGCUGGCGGCGUGCUUAACACAUGCAAGUCGAACGGAAAGGCCCUGCUUUUGUGGGGUGCUCGAGUGGCGAACGGGUGAGUAACACGUGAGUAACCUGCCCUUGACUUUGGGAUAACUUCAGGAAACUGGGGCUAAUACCGGAUAGGAGCUCCUGCUGCAUGGUGGGGGUUGGAAAGUUUCGGCGGUUGGGGAUGGACUCGCGGCUUAUCAGCUUGUUGGUGGGGUAGUGGCUUACCAAGGCUUUGACGGGUAGCCGGCCUGAGAGGGUAACCGGCCUCAUUGGGACUGAGAGACGGCCCAGACUCCUACGGGAGGCAGCAGUGGGGAAUAUGGCGCAAUGGGGGGAAGCCUGAUGCAGCAACGCCGCGUGCGGGAUGACGGCCUUCGGGUUGUAAACCGCUUUCGCCUGUGACGAAGCGUGAGUGACGGUAAUGGGUAAAGAAGCACCGGCUAACUACGUG